GCCAGCAUGGCAUAGUGGUUUGAGUGUUGGACUACAACUCUGGAGACCAGGGUUCAAUUUCCGGUUCAGCCA
rnacentral:tRNA from 1 species